AUUAACGGUGAUGAGCUAUUUAUACAGACACAGACCUGUAAUGAUUUGCGAAAAUGAUCGCAUUUUAUGAACAUCUAAGGGACUGAGUUUGU
rnacentral:snoRNA from 1 species